GAUGAACGCUGGCGGCGUGCCUAAUACAUGCAAGUCGAGCGAACGGACGAGAAGCUUGCUUCUCUGAUGUUAGCGGCGGAGGGGUGAGUAACACGUGGAUAACCUACCUAUAAGACUGGGAUAACUUCGGGAAACCGGAGCUAAUACCGGAUAAUAUUUUGAACCGCAUGGUGCAAAAGUGAAAGACGGUCUUGCUGUCACUUAUAGAUGGAUCCGCGCUGCAUUAGCUAGUUGGUAAGGUAACGGCUUACCAAGGCAACGAUGCAUAGCCGACCUGAGAGGGUGAUCGGCCACACUGGAGCUGAGACACGGUCCAGACUCCUACGGGAGGCAGCAGUCGGGAAUCUGCCGCAAUGGGCGAAAGCCUGACGGAGCAACGCCGCGUGAGUGAUGAAGGUCUUCGGAUCGUAAAGCUCUGUUAUUAGGGAAGAACAUAUGUGUAAGUAACUGUGCACAUCUUGACGGUACCUAAUCAGAAAGCCACGGCUAACUACGUG
rnacentral:rRNA from 1 species